GGGGAUAACACUUAGAAAUAGGUGCUAAUACCGCAUAAGCGCACAGCUUCGCAUGAAGCAGUGUGAAAAACUCUGGUGGUAUACGAUGGAUCCGCGUCUGAUUAGCUGGUUGGCGGGGUAAAGGCCCACCAAGGCAACGAUCAGUAGCCGGCCUGAGAGGGUGAACGGCCACAUUGGGACUGAGACACGGCCCAAACUCCUACGGGAGGCAGCAGUGGGGAAUAUUACACAAUGGGGGAAACCCUGAUGCAGCGACGCCGCGUGAGUGAAGAAGUAUUUCGGUACGUAAAGCUCUAUCAGCAGGGAAGAAAAUGACGGUACCUGACUAAGAAGCCCCGGCUAACUACGUGCCAGCAGCCGCGGUAAUACGUAGGGGGCAAGCGUUAUCCGGAUUUACUGGGUGUAAAGGGAGCGCAGACGGCAGCGCAAGUCUGGAGUGAAAUCCCAUGGCUUAACCAUGGAACUGCUUUGGAAACUGUGCAGCUAGAGUGCAGGAGAGGUAAGCGGAAUUCCUAGUGUAGCGGUGAAAUGCGUAGAUAUUAGGAGGAACACCAGUGGCGAAGGCGGCUUACUGGACUGUAACUGACGUUGAGGCUCGAAAGCGUGGGGAGCAAACAGGAUUAGAUACCCU
rnacentral:rRNA from 1 species